rnacentral:lncRNA from 1 species
AUAUUCACUGUGUAACAAAAUAGGAUAAGGUCAUCCUUCGCUCCGCCCUUCGGGUAAUGGCGGCCAUCUCGCGAUAUUUGUGUACCUGAUGAGCCUGGAAUUGUUCGGGAUUAAAGCAUUGUCUAUUGAUUAAUUUGGAGGUCACGGUGAUCGUAGCAUUCUUAACAUUGGUUGUUCAUCAGAAGAGAAGCAUCCAUUGAUCAAGGCCAAGUAUUAAAAACAACUUCUAUUUGAACAUAAAGAAAGAAGGGUCUAGAAGACAGCCAUGCCUGCAGUGAAAGGGGAGGGGAUGCGCGGCCUUGCCGUUUUCAUCUCGGAUAUCAGGAAUUGUAAAAGCAAGGAAGCGGAAAUCAAGAGGAUUAACAAAGAGCUUGCGAACAUCCGAUCAAAAUUCAAAGGUAAGUGCGGAAGCUUGUGUGACGAAAAUUGUACAGUGCU